GUGACACUGGGUGACAUUGGGUGACACUGGGUGACACUGGGUGACACUGAGGUGACACUGGGUGACACUGGGUGACACUGGGUGACACUGGGUGACACUGAGGUGACACUGGGUGACACUGGGUGACAUUGGGUGACACUGGGUGACACUGGGUGACACUGGGUGACAUUGGGUGACACUGGGGUGACACUGGGUGACACUGGGUGACACUGAGGUGACACUGGGGUGACACUGGGUGACACUGGGUGACACUGGGUGACAUU